GUUUGAUCCUGGCUCAGGACGAACGCUGGCGGCGUGCCUAAUACAUGCAAGUCGAGCGAACAGAUGGGAGCUUGCUCCCUGAUGUUAGCGGCGGACGGGUGAGUAACACGUGGGUAACCUGCCUGUAAGACUGGGAUAACUCCGGGAAACCGGGGCUAAUACCGGAUGGUUGUCUGAACCGCAUGGUUCAGACAUAAAAGGUGGCUUCGGCUACCACUUACAGAUGGACCCGCGGCGCAUUAGCUAGUUGGUGAGGUAACGGCUCACCAAGGCGACGAUGCGUAGCCGACCUGAGAGGGUGAUCGGCCACACUGGGACUGAGACACGGCCCAGACUCCUACGGGAGGCAGCAGUAGGGAAUCUUCCGCAAUGGACGAAAGUCUGACGGAGCAACGCCGCGUGAGUGAUGAAGGUUUUCGGAUCGUAAAGCUCUGUUGUUAGGGAAGAACAAGUGCCGUUCAAAUAGGGCGGCACCUUGACGGUACCUAACCAGAAAGCCACGGCUAACUACGUGCCAGCAGCCGCGGUAAUACGUAGGUGGCAAGCGUUGUCCGGAAUUAUUGGGCGUAAAGGGCUCGCAGGCGGUUUCUUAAGUCUGAUGUGAAAGCCCCCGGCUCAACCGGGGAGGGUCAUUGGAAACUGGGGAACUUGAGUGCAGAAGAGGAGAGUGGAAUUCCACGUGUAGCGGUGAAAUGCGUAGAGAUGUGGAGGAACACCAGU
rnacentral:rRNA from 1 species